UACGUAGGGUGCAAGCGUUAAUCGGAAUUACUGGGCGUAAAGCGCGCGUAGGCGGACCUGCAAGUCAGAUGUGAAAUCUCGGGGCUCAACCUCGAAACUGCGUCUGAAACUACAGGUCUAGAAUCUUGGAGGGGGUAGGGGAAUUUCGCAUGUAGGGGUAAAAUCCGUAGAUAUGCGAAGGAACACCAGAGGCGAAGGCGCCUGCCUGGACAAGUAUUGACGCUGAGGCGCGAAAGCGUGGGGAUCAAACAGG
rnacentral:rRNA from 1 species